rnacentral:rRNA from 1 species
CCUACGGGAGGCAGCAGUGGGGAAUAUUGGACAAUGGGGGCAACCCUGAUCCAGCCAUGCCGCGUGUGUGAAGAAGGCCCUCGGGUUGUAAAGCACUUUCAGUGAGGAAGAACGCCUGGUGGUUAAUACCCAUCAGGAAAGACAUCACUCACAGAAGAAGCACCGGUUAACUCCGUGCCAGCAGCCGCGGUAAUACGGAGGGUGCGAGCGUUAAUCGGAAUUACUGGGCGUAAAGCGCGCGUAGGUGGCUUGAUAAGCCGGUUGUGAAAGCCCCGGGCUCAACCUGGGAACGGCAUCCGGAACUGUCAAGCUAGAGUGCAGGAGAGGAAGGUAGAAUUCCCGGUGUAGCGGUGAAAUGCGUAGAGAUCGGGAGGAAUACCAGUGGCGAAGGCGGCCUUCUGGACUGACACUGACACUGAGGUGCGAAAGCGUGGGUAGCAAACAGGAUUAGAUACCCCUGUAGUC